rnacentral:rRNA from 1 species
GUCCACGCAGUAAACGAUGCAGACUAGGCGUGGGGGACUUGACCCCUCCGUGCCGGAGCUAACGCGGUAAGUCUGCCGCCUGGGGAGUACGGCCGCAAGGCUAAAACUCAAAGGAAUUGACGGGGGCCCGCACAAGCGGCGGAGCGUGCGGUUUAAUUCGACGCAACGCGCAGAACCUUACCAGGGCUUGACAUGCACCUGCAGAGCGCCGAAAGGCGAUGUCCUUCGAGGGUGGUUCACAGGUGCUGCAUGGCUGUCGU